UACGGGGGGAGCAAGCGUUGUUCGGAUUUACUGGGCGUAAAGGGCGCGUAGGCGGUCAGCACAAGUCAGCUGUGAAAUCUCCGGGCUUAACUCGGAACGGUCAGCUGAUACUGUUUUGCUAGAGUGCAGAAGGGGCAAUCGGAAUUCUCGGUGUAGCGGUGAAAUGCGUAGAUAUCGAGAGGAACACCUGAGGUGAAGACGGGUUGCUGGGCUGACACUGACGCUGAUGCGCGAAAGCCAGGGUAGCAAACGGG
rnacentral:rRNA from 1 species